CUCUCCUGCCCUGGACUGAGUUGAUAGAAACCAGGCUUGGGAAGGGGGAGACCAGUGUUCAGCCCUCACAGUAUAGGAACAGGGUGGCUUUGGGUAUUGGGAUCCCUCUGAGGUACUGGGCCCAGAGCAUCCAUCUGGGGCUAAGGCCAGCCCUCAGAAGACCAGCUCACUGGCUUUCCUCAAGGAGGGGAGGUGGCUGUUGUCAGCUGAGAUGGCCACCAGGGAAGCCUGGGCUCCCCCAUCCACACUUAUCGCGUUUUCUUCCUGCAGGCUAUGCCCACUGGAAGGGCCAGGUGCUGACGUCCCAGGAGCUGCAUGCGCUGUACGAAGGUCUCAAGGCAAACAACGUCAACAAGUAUGACUACGUGCUCACUGGU
rnacentral:lncRNA from 1 species